rnacentral:rRNA from 1 species
UGCAAGUCGGACGAAGUAGCAAUACUUAGUGGCAGACGGGUGAGUAACAUGUGGGUAUCUGCCCUAUGGCCUGGAAUAACACGAGGAAACUUGUGCUAAUACCGGAUAAGUCUUUACGGAGAAAGCUUUAUGCACCAUUGGAUGAGCCUGCACUUGAUUAGUUUGUUGGUGGGGUAAUGGCCUACCAAGACUAUGAUCAAUAGCUGAUUUGAGAGGAUGAUCAGCCACAUUGGGACUGAGACACGGCCCAAACUCCUACGGGAGGCAGCAGUGGGGAAUCUUGCACAAUGGAGGAAACUCUGAUGCAGCGAUGCCGCGUGAGUGAAGAAGGCCUUUGGGUUGUAAAGCUCUUUCGUCGGGGAAGAAAAUGACUGUACCCGAAUAAGAAGGUCCGGCUAACUUCGUGCCAGCAGCCGCGGUAAUACGAAGGGACCUAGCGUAGUUCGGAAUUACUGGGCUUAAAGAGUUCGUAGGUGGUUGAAAAAGUUGGUGGUGAAAUCCCAGAGCUUAACUCUGGAACUGCCAUCAAAACUUUUCAGCUAGAGUAUGAUAGAGGAAAGCAGAAUUUCUAGUGUAGAGGUGAAAUUCGUAGAUAUUAGAAAGAAUACCAAUUGCGAAGGCAGCUUCCUGGAUCAUUACUGACACUGAGGAACGAAAGCAUGGGUAGCGAAGAGGAUUAGAUACCCUCGUAGUCCAUGCCGUAAACGAUGUGUGUUAGACGUUGGAAAUUUAUUUUCAGUGUCGCAGCGAAAGCGAUAAACACACCGCCUGGGGAGUACGACCGCAAGGUUAAAACUCAAAUGAAUUGACGGGGACCCGCACAAGUAGUGGAGCAUGUGGUUUAAUUCGAAGAUACGCGCAGAACCUUACCAACACUUGACAUGUUCGUCGCGACUCUAAGAGAUUAGAGUUUUCGGUUCGGCCGGACGAAACACAGGUGCUGCAUGGCUGUCGUCAGCUCG